ensembl:lncRNA
AUGUGUGUCUUCCUCUGUGCUCUGCUCAGGUCUCCUGUGUGGAACAACACUGGUGUGAAUCUGACGUUCCACAUUCCAAGUACAGAUUAUAAAGGUGUGGUCAGUGUGUGUGUCGUUCUGCCAGAUGGCAGUUGCCAUGGCAACUACGGCAUCUCCUACCAGUCAUCACCGACCUGUAUCAGAACUGAACCAAACAGCGCCUGGUUCAGUGGUAAGAGAACUAUCACACUCAUCGGCUCCCACCGAGAGUUUGUGGAAGGGGUCAUUCACAGCCACAACCCACAAGACGUCACACUACCCAGAAGCAGCAAAUCUGGGAAUCUAACCUUUGAAACAAAUGCAGCAAAAAGCACCCAGCAAUCCCUUUUCAGCUCUGUGUCUCUGAAAGUAGCCAAUGAGACCUUGGUUUGUUCCACAAGCUUCAAAUACCACCCAGACCCUGAGUUCAUCACCUUUAAAUCCCUCACAACAAUGGGCUACGUGCUCAUCAUCGUAGAGAAGAAGAAGGAUGAGCUGGAGGUGACGACAGCAGAGUUGUCAGUGUGGGGCGUUCACGGUGGAAAACAGCACCCCUGCGUCAUGACUGGCAAAGAAACCAGUAACAAGAUGGAGUUUUUCCACUGUCACAUUAAGAACAUCCCUGAUGCUACAUUUCAGGAGUUGAUGAUACAUUAUGGAGACAGGACAGUGAGACUAGGGCCUCCAUCUUUAUUACACCAGGUCCUACUGAUACUGCGUGUACUGCUGAUACCGUGUGUGUUCAUAGGUGAGUAUCCUGGACUAAUACAGUGAUUUUGAUCUAGUCACUGUCAUAGCUGUGCAGCUAGUUUAGUCAGUAGUAGACAGUGUAUUUUUGACUUGGUUUGAACCAGUAAUCGUAUGUUUCAGUGUUGGUGAUGAUCUGUCGAUGGCAAAAGAAGCUCAUUGCUGAGAAGAAGCUCUGAUUAUUCGGUCCAACUAUUAUUAAAUGUUUUUAAUUUUUUUUCUUACUGAUUAGCCCUUUUACACACUGUCAAAGACCUCAGAACAGACAGACUACCAUUUUCCAUUUAAGAGCAAGCAAUCAGAAGAAUUAGCAGAGGUGGACAGUCAGAUAAUAUUUAAUUAUCAGAUGAUUUUUAAUAAUGCAGUAGUGUGAUUAUAUUCUUAUUGUUAUUACUUGUAAUCAGGGUUAAAGUUAAAAGUUUAAUGUUUGAGGACAGGGGUCAGGUGUAUAGGGAUAUGCCAUGGCAGAAGGACACUGAACGAAAACUGAGUAAAAACGAAAGGAGGAAGUCUUUGGAGCAAAACAGCUGACUCUGGGCAGCUCAGCCCCAUCAUCCAGGCAGGAUGAAGCAUCAUGGAGAAAAUCGAGUUCAGAGCCGAAAUCGAGGGACCCCCAUGAAAGUCUCUGUAGGUGCUAGAGUCGAAGCAGAACGUUAGCCUGCUUUGGUGCUACCGUCAGGACCCUUGAGGAGAACGCCUCCGGACACAAGAGCAGAGGAGACUGGAACAGAGGUUCCAGUCUUCUGUACAAGAGACCAGGCUGACCUGGUCUCUUGUACUGGAGAUUGCAGAGUAACAAGUAACACUUGUGCUGCAUAAAUUUUAAUUAAUUAUGUAAAUAUUGAAUCAUGCUUAAUACAAUUACAUGUAAAUUGUUCAUUCAAAUAACACAGUAAUAACAAAAGAAACAAAAAUUGUGAAUCAUAAAAUAGCUAAACCCUGAAAGCCCAGUCUAAUGUAACAAAUGUCUUUUGUUUUAUAAUAAAUCAUCCAUUACAUGAUACA